rnacentral:lncRNA from 1 species
AAUUUUAAGUCAAGUCUAGUUGCCUGCUGUCAACCAGAAAACUAUUGGGAGAGUGAGUAUAUCACUUCCCUAUUUUCCACUCAUGGUCUCUACCAAUCUACCCCCUAAGUGGGAUUUAUCAAUCCCACAGUACUGACUCUGGACCUGCCUGAUUAUCUUCUCACUGUUCUUUCCCUUCAAAAUGAGAUGAUACAUGUGAAAUUAUAUUGUAAAUUGUGAGCCUGUUUUCAAUUAAUUUACUCUUUUUAUUGCCUUCACAUCUUUGUUUACUCUGUUCUCUCCAUUUCUCAGUGUUCAUCUAGAACCUCCCAUUUUCUGAGGUUGGCACAUAGCUGCCUGGAGCUAACUAGAUGUUUAGUAAAUACCUAGGGAAUAAAAUAAAAUACAAGGGUUGUCUCAACACCAGCUUUUCCGUGGAGCAUCUCCAAGCCACUUCUCAUUGAUGCACCCAUUAGGUGGCUUCCUAAGGAAUACAGUUUAGGUUACUCAUGUUUUCCCUCUGAUGAGUAGCUGGAAAACAGCUGGAAGAGAUGAGACAGAGAAAUGUGCAAAGGUCUGGGGACAGCGUUGGAAGCCUGACCUUCUUUCUGCAUCAAAAUGGAACUGACCCCAAAGGUAACAAGAUUGCCUUAUGCUCAUUAUCUCAGAGGAGGUCUGAAGAGGCUUGAGGGAGCUGACACCUAGGGUAAAAUGGAGGAGACUGAGCCCCAGGAUGGUUAAUCUCGUGUAGUUUAGAAGUCUAGUUUGAUAUUAUCUACUGAUUUUUAUUUUAUUUUUUUUGCUUUUCUUUUUCAGGUGUACAUCAUUAUAUAUUUCAAAUUCUGUGUGGAUUACAUCUUGUUCACCACCCAAAGACUAAU